rnacentral:lncRNA from 1 species
ACACUUAUGUUUGUAUUCGACAAUUAUUAUCUAAUCAUGGACUAACUAGGUUCAAAAGAUUCCUCCUACAAAUUAUAUGCAACUUGUGCAAUUAGUUUUUUGUUUUCGUCUAUAUUUAAUGUUCCAUGCAUUCGUCCAAAGAUUCGAUAUGAUGAGCAAUCUAAAAAAAUUUGGAAACUAAACCAUGCCUUAAUGAUUGAUACAUGCGCCGUAAGAUUCUAUGUAACGAAAAAUCUUAUUUUUUUUUUAAAUUUUUUGGAACUAAGGCUUUGUUCGGUUCUGAUUUUUUUUGGGUUUUGAGUACUAUAACACUUUCAUUUUUAUUUAAUAAUUAUUGUCCAAUUAUUGACUAACUAAGCUUAAUAGAUUAAUCUCGUGAUUUAUAAGUAAAUUACACAAUUAGUUUUUUGUUUCAAUCUAUAUUUAAUAUUUCAUGCAUGGGCCAUAAGAUUUGAUGUGACGAAAAAUCUUAAAUUUUUUUUGGUUUUUGGAUGAACUAAUCAUGACCUGAACAGCCCACGUAAAGUCGGAGCUGUAUGGAGAGGGGGGCGAAUGUAAUAUACUAUCUUCAAAAGCCAUUAUCUAAAAUAUAAUACUCAUUUCAAAUUUAGCUAGUGUUAUAGAUAAAGAGUUUCAUAUUUAUUUUUAGUCUUCUUUAAUAAGAAAACUCUUUGUGUAAAUAGGUCUCAAAAAGUAAGGGUAGUUAGAUUAUACCUCUCUUAAUACUUAAAAUAAAUUUUCUAUAUAUGUGCUUUGUUGAAGGCUAGGAGACGUAUUUUAAGUUUAGGUCUCAUAAAACGUCACCUGUCGCAGACCGAGGCCUUGGUUUAUAUUAUCGUAAGUUUUAAAGAUUCAUCUCGUGAUUUAUAAGCAAACUGCAUAAU